UUUUUUUUUUUUUUUUUGUUUUCGUUUUUUUUUUUUUUUUUUCUUUCAU
rnacentral:ribozyme from 14 species